AUCGCUUCUUGGCCUUUGGCUAAGAUCAAGUGUAGUAUCUGUUCUUAUCAGACGCUGCAUCUGGUUUUACGAGUUGCGAUCCGCUCCUUGGGGUGGAGAAGGUUAUUGCUUAAUCUGUAGCAAGACCUUUUCACACAAAUAGAGGAGAUAACUUAAAAUUUGAAGUGGUUUGAAAUUUGUUAACUUUUG
rnacentral:snRNA from 1 species